CCGCCUGAAGAUGAGACCUCCCGGGGCGUAAGCCCCCUGAAGGGCCCUGGUAGAUGACCAGGUUGAUAGGCCGGAGGUGUAAGCGCCGUGAGGCGUUCAGCUGACCGGUACUAAUCGCCCGUGCGGCUUGACCAC
rnacentral:rRNA from 1 species